rnacentral:rRNA from 1 species
CUUUUUUCUCCGGCCGAAGAGCAGUGAUCCGAAGCAGUUCCGGUACUGUGGAGGUACCGGUAACUAGAGGCUGCCCGCAGGGAUCAAUCAGCGGCCCAUUUAUCUGGGACAUACUGAUGGAUGUACUGCUUCAGCGUCUCCAGCCGUAUUGCCAGCUGAGUGCAUACGCGGAUGACUUGCUGCUUCUCGUCGAGGGAAAUUCCCGAGCUGUGCUAGAGGAAAAAGGAGCGCAACUAAUGUCCAUCGUAGAAACGUGGGGAGCGGAAGUUGGCGUUGCCGUCUCGACCAGCAAGACGGUAAUCAUGCUGCUGAAAGGUGCCUUGAGACGUGCGCCUACGGUGAGGUUUGCUGGAGCGAACCUUCCGUAUGUGCGUAGCUGUCGGUACCUUGGCAUCACGGUCAGUGAAGGAAUGAAAUUCCUCACGCACAUAGCUUCGCUUCGCCAGCGGAUGACAGGAGUCGUUGGAGCAUUGGCGCGUGUGCUUCGAGCCGACUGGGGCUUCAGUCCUCGAGCCAGGCGGACCAUAUAUGACGGACUCAUGGCACCUUGUGUGCUGUUUGGUGCCCCGGUAUGGUAUGACACCGCGGAACAAGUAGCUGCCCAGAGGCGACUAGCCUCCUGCCAGAGGCUAAUCCUGCUUGGAUGCCUUUCGGUAUGCCGAACAGUGUCCACAGUGGCACUGCAGGUACUUGGUGGAGCUCCCCCGCUUGAUCUGGCUGCUAAGUUAUUAGCGAUUAAAUACAAGCUAAAACGUGGAUUCCCGCUGGAGGAGAACGACUGGCUUUACGGCGAGGACAUUGCGUGUCUUAGCUGGGAGCAGAGGAAGACUCGCCUAGAGGAGUGUUUUAAUCCAGAGUUGGCAGAACAGAUGGGACGACGACAGCGAACCAGGACGGGUGACGCAUAGGUUUAUCCCAUACGUCACUCUUGCCUAUCGGGAUCCAAGUUUUGGAUUCUCGAUGAGGACGUCUUUCCUGCUUACAGGGCACGGGUCGUUCAAUGCAUUUUUGCACGGGAGAGCCCUCAGCGAUACCACUGCUUGCGCAUGUGGAGAUCCAUAUGAGGACUGGAUGCAUAUCUUGUGCGCUUGCCCCCUAUAUGCAGAUCUGCGGGACCUAGAUGGACUUGGAGUGCAGCGCCUUGGCGAAAACUGGAUCUUCGAGGGAAUCCUGGAUGAUCAAGAGAAGACUCAACGGCUGGCAAUGUUUGCGGAAGAAGUGUUCCUGAGGAGGAGGGGCGUUUAGCUCAACAUCUCUGCCGUGUGGUUAGCGGGCGAGAAUACUACCACAGUCCGCUGUUGCUUGUCGUAAGAGACGACUAAUACAGCGAUAGGAUUCCUCUAACCCUGCUUGUCGGAGCAAAAGGGGGAGGCCCACCGAGCCUCUUUUCGGUACCACGGGUUGAGCAGCUAUCCAAGACUGCUCAUUGAGGUAGGCCCCCUGGUGGGAGUAUCGUGGUGGCUGUGGUUGGUACCCAUAUCGCGGGUAGAGCCUUCAUGCUCGACGUUUGAGUUACGGUGCUAGUUGCGCAAAACUCGGGUGCUGUGACCCAGAGAUCAGUAGAGAUUUUAGGUAGAUCUCGCUCCUCAGCAAGGGGGAGUGCUUGCCCGGCAAGCAAGUACUCGAAUUGCUACCGGGGUGGUCGCUAUGUACAUAGCUAUAGCUUCUAGUCCGGGACGCUUGUCUGGCGUAUCCAGACACAUGCACCAUAUGCUCACUUGUGGGCGUAUAGGGUGCCGUGGUUGUAAUCCCUUCAGUGUGGAACACGCCACGUAAAAUAAGUUCGGAGGGAUCCGAAAAGCAUACAUUGUCCCUAUCUACUAUCUAGCGAAACCACAGCCAAGGGAACGGGCUUGGAAUAAUUAGCGGGGAAAGAAGACCCUUUUGAGCUUGACUCUAAUCUGGCAGUGUAAGGAGACAUAAGAGGUGUAGAAUAAGUGGGAGAUAUUAGACCUCGGUUUGGUAUCGUCAAUGAAAUACCACUACUCUUAUUGUUUCCUUACUUACUUGAUUAAAUGGAACGUGUAUCAUUUCCUAGCCAUUAUACGGAUAUAUUUAUUAUAUCUUAUGGUAUUGGGUUUUGAUGCAAGCUUCUUGAUCAAAGUAUCACGAGUUUGUUAUAUAAUCGCAAACAAAUUCUUUAAUAAAACGAUGCAUUUAUGUAUUUUUGAUUUGAAAAUUUGGUAUAACUCCAAUUACUCAGGUAUGAUCCAAUUCAAGGACAUUGCCAGGUAGGGAGUUUGACUGGGGCGGUACAUCUCUCAAAUAAUAACGGAGGUGUCCCAAGGCCAGCUCAGUGCGGACAGAAACCACACAUAGAGCAAAAGGGCAAAUGCUGACUUGAUCUCGGUGUUCAGUACACACAGGGACAGCAAAAGCUCGGCCUAUCGAUCCUUUUGGUUUAAAGAGUUUUUAACAAGAGGUGUCAGAAAAGUUACCAUAGGGAUAACUGGCUUGUGGCGGCCAAGCGUUCAUAGCGACGUCGCUUUUUGAUCCUUCGAUGUCGGCUCUUCCUAUCAUUGUGAAGCAAAAUUCACCAAGCGUUGGAUUGUUCACCCAUGCAAGGGAACGUGAGCUGGGUUUAGACCGGUCGUGAGACAGGUUAGUUUUACCCUACUAAUGACAAAACGUUGUUGCGACAGCAUUCCUGCGUAGUACGAGAGGAACCGCAGGUACGGACCAAUGGCACAAUACUUGUUCGAGCGAACAGUGGUAUGACGCUACGUCCGUUGGAUUAUGCCUGAACGCCUCUAAGGUCGUAUCCGUGCUGGACUGCAAUGAUAAAUAAGGGGCAAUUUGCAUUGUAUGGCUUCUAAACCAUUUAAAGUUUAUAAUUUACUUUAUAAACGACAAUGGAUGUGAUGCCAAUGUAAUUUGUAACAUAGUAAAUUGGGAGGAUCUUCGAUCACCUGAUGCCGCGCUAGUUACAUAUAAAAGCAUUAUUU